CUUGAACGCUGGCGGCAGGCCUAACACAUGCAAGUCGAGCGCGAGGCGGACGGGUGAGUAAUGUAUGGGGAUCUUCCCGAUAGAGGGGGAUACCUACUGGAAACGGUGGCUAAUACCGCAUCCUAUCGGAUGAAACCAUAUGGGAAUCGCGAGUAGGUGGGGUAAAGGCUCACCUAGGCGACGAGCUCUGACUGGUCGGAGAGGAUGAUCAGCCACACUGGGACGUCGACACGGCCCAGAAUCCUACGGGAGGCAGAAGUGGGGAAUAUUGCACAAUGGGCGCAAGCAUGAUGCAGCCAUGCCGCGUGUAUGAAGAAGGCCUUAGGGUUGGAAAGUACUUUAAGCGGGGAGGCGUUACCCGCAGAAGAAGCACCGGCUAACUCCGUGCCAGCAGCCGCGGUAAUAC
rnacentral:rRNA from 1 species